rnacentral:rRNA from 1 species
GAUGAACGCUGGCGGCGUGCCUAAUACAUGCAAGUCGAGCGAACAGACGAGGAGCUUGCUCCUCUGACGUUAUCGGCGGACGGGUGAGUAACACGUGGAUAACCUACCUAUAAGACUGGGAUAACUUCGGGAAACCGGAGCUAAUACCGGAUAAUAUAUUGCACCGCAUUGUUCACUAGUGGAAGACGGUUUUGCUGUCACUUAUAGAUGGAUCCGCGCCGCAUUAGCUAGUUGGUAAGGUAACGGGUUACCAAGGCAACGAGGCGUAGCCGACCUGAGAGGGAGAUCGGCCACACUGGAACGGAGACACGUUCCAGACUCCUACGGUAGGCAGCAGUAGGGAAUCUUCCGCAAUGGGCGAAAGCCUGACGGAGCAACGCCGCGUGAGUGAUGAAGGUCUUCGGAUCGUAAAACUCUGUUAUUAGGGAAGAACAAAUGUGUAAGUAACUAUGCACGUCUUGACGGUACCUAAUCAGAAAGCCACGGCUAACUACGUG